rnacentral:rRNA from 1 species
GACGAACGCUGGCGGCGUGCCUAAUACAUGCAAGUCGAACGCAGUGGGGACGGGUGAGUAACACGUGGGUAACCUCCCAUCAGAGGGGAUAACACUUGGAAACAGGUGCUAAACCGAUCCUGAUGGAUGGACCCGCGGUGCAUUAGCUAGUUGGUGUGGUAACGGCGACCAAAGGCCACGAUGCAUAGCCGCCCGGAGAGUGGGAUCGGCCCCACUGGGACUGAGACACGGCCCAGACGCCUACGGGAGUAAGCAGUAGGUAAUCUUCGGCAAUGGACGAAAGUCUGACCGAGCAACGCCGCGUGAGUGAAGAAGGUUUUCGGAUCGUAAAACUCUGUUGUUAGAGAAGCGGUAUCUAACCAGAAAGCCACGGCUAACUACGUGCCAGCAGCCGCGGUAAUAC